AUAUGUAUUAAUUUCAUAACUGGUAAUUAACCCUCUGUAUUUGUUUGUAAAAAUAUUUUAUCAAGGUAAAAUAUUGCGUUUUCAAAAUGUCAUUAUGCGAUGUGAUGUCACACCAGUGAUAUUUGCAUGUGAAACAAAGUUGAAUGUCUUGCAAAGGAAGCAAGUUACCAAAAUUCUAUAAACGAAAUUAUCAAGUCAUUUUAAG